rnacentral:rRNA from 1 species
AUGGAUAUAAAGCCAAGUAAUAUCCUUCUGGAUAAUAACUAUAUUCCCAAGAUAGGCGACUUUGGCAUAUCCAAAGUGUUACCUCAGUUUGAGGAUUAUGAUAAGACUCAGAGAAUAAUAGGCACACGGGGCUUUAUUGCUCCAGAACUGGUGAAUGAGAGUUGUUUCUCAACCAAGACUGACGUGCAUGGUUAUGGCAUUCUCCUCCUUGAGACUAUUAGUGGGAAGAGGUGCUUCCAAGCAUAUAGUGAUUUCAACAUUCUAUCUGUGUGGGUAUGGCAGUUAUGGAAAGAUAAAAAAUUGGCAGAGUUCAUCGACCCAAGGGCACGUGAUGAUGCUGAUGUAUCAAAAACAAAGGCGAUCAAAAGAUGCAUUCACAUAGCACUUCUCUGUAUUGAAGUUAAUCCGGCACAUCGCCCCACCGUGUCUUAUAUUCUUCGGAUGCUGAGCGAUAAGAAACUAAAGCUACCGAUGCCGCGGCAGCCAAAUGGCAUCAAGGAAGACAACUUAGACAUCUCAGACACUGAACCAACGUAUUGA